rnacentral:rRNA from 8 species
AGACCCGAAACCCGGUGAUCUAGCCAUGGGCAGGUUGAAGGUUGGGUAACACUAACUGGAGGACCGAACCGACUAAUGUUGAAAAAUUAGCGGAUGACCUGUGGCUGGGGGUGAAAGGCCAAUCAAACCGGGAGAUAGCUGGUUCUCCCCGAAAGCUAUUUAGGUAGCGCCUCGUGAAUUCAUCUCCGGGGGUAGAGCACUGUUUCGGCUAGGGGGCCAUCCCGGCUUACCAACCCGAUGCAAACUGCGAAUACCGGAGAAUGUUAUCACGGGAGACACACGGCGGGUGCUAACGUCCGUCGUGAAGAGGGAAACAACCCAGACCGCCAGCUAAGGUCCCAAAGUCAUGGUUAAGUGGGAAACGAUGUGGGAAGGCCCAGACAGCCAGGAUGUUGGCUUAGAAGCAGCCAUCAUUUAAAGAAAGCGUAAUAGCUCACUGGUCGAGUCGGCCUGCGCGGAAGAUGUAACGGGGCUAAACCAUGCACCGAAGCUGCGGCAGCGACACUGUGUGUUGUUGGGUAGGGGAGCGUUCUGUAAGCCUGUGAAGGUGUGUCGUGAGGCAUGCUGGAGGUAUCAGAAGUGCGAAUGCUGACAUAAGUAACGAUAAAGCGGGUGAAAAGCCCGCUCGCCGGAAGACCAAGGGUUCCUGUCCAACGUUAAUCGGGGCAGGGUGAGUCGACCCCUAAGGCGAGGCCGAAAGGCGUAGUCGAUGGGAAACGGGUUAAUAUUCCCGUACUUGGUGUUACUGCGAAGGGGGGACGGAGAAGGCUAUGUUGGCCGGGCGACGGUUGUCCCGGUUUAAGCGUGUAGGUGUGUGUUCCAGGUAAAUCCGGUUCACUUUAACACUGAGGCGUGA